UGAAAAUCUAGAAAAAAUGUUAACCUUGGUUGGUCCAAUUAGGUCCUUUCCUUUAUGAAGAGAAGAACUAAACUCCUACUGCCUAAAAAGAGGUGUAUCUGGAACUCCAGUACUUUUGUAUACUCCCAGACACUCCUCAGAUGUUUUGAUACUCCUGGAUAUGUCCCAGGUUUGGGGGUCUGCCUGGAGCCAUUAGGGAUAGACGGAUAGGACGAUUCCUUCUGCUCGUGCUGGGUGCCCAAGGUCAGGUGGUGAAUCCUCCAAAUGGCGUGUUAAUUCACCCCUACUGGGUUUAUGUGCGGGGCAUGUUUGGUGUGACCUCCAGAGGUACUGGCCUUGCUACCUAAUUACCUGCCCCUACUGCCGUUACAGGUAUUUGGCGUACAGGAGCAUUGUUAGCUGGUGUUGGGGCUUUCGGGGCUGGAAGAAUCAGGGUGGUCCUGCCCUCCUGCGUGGUGCUCCAGAUAUGCAGAGAGUUCCCUGAUGCUCAAGGAAGGUAUACGGGGUUCAGACCUUCCCUUGAUUGAACCUCGACACAUAUCUGGCUAUAACUUGUCAGGUUUCUCAUACUUGGCAGAGAGAUCCUCGGGUAUUGGGAUCUUCAUGACCUCAUCCACAUCAGGGUCCCGGUCCUGAAAAACCUUGUGAAAGACGAGGUCCAACAGUUUAUCCACUGGUCUG
ensembl:lncRNA